AUUGAACGCUGGCGGCAUGCUUUACACAUGCAAGUCGAACGGUAACAGGCCGCAAGGUGCUGACGAGUGGCGAACGGGUGAGUAAUGCAUCGGAACGUGCCCAGUCGUGGGGGAUAACGCAGCGAAAGUUGCGCUAAUACCGCAUACGAUCUAUGGAUGAAAGCGGGGGACCGUAAGGCCUCGCGCGAUUGGAGCGGCCGAUGUCAGAUUAGGUAGUUGGUGGGGUAAAGGCUCACCAAGCCGACGAUCUGUAGCUGGUCUGAGAGGACGACCAGCCACACUGGGACUGAGACACGGCCCAGACUCCUACGGGAGGCAGCAGUGGGGAAUUUUGGACAAUGGGCGCAAGCCUGAUCCAGCAAUGCCGCGUGCAGGAAGAAGGCCUUCGGGUUGUAAACUGCUUUUGUACGGAACGAAACGGUCCUGGUUAAUACCCGGGGCUAAUGACGGUACCGUAAGAAUAAGCACCGGCUAACUACGUGCCAGCAGCCGCCGUAACAC
rnacentral:rRNA from 1 species